rnacentral:rRNA from 1 species
UACAGAGGGUGCAAGCGUUAAUCGAAAUUACUGGGCGUAAAGAGCUCGUAGGCGGUUUGUCGCGUCUGCCGUGAAAGUCCGGGGCUCAACUCCGGAUCUGCGGUGGGUACGGGCAGACUAGAGUGAUGUAGGGGAGACUGGAAUUCCUGGUGUAGCGGUGAAAUGCGCAGAUAUCAGGAGGAACACCGAUGGCGAAGGCAGGUCUCUGGGCCGAUACUGACGCUGAGGAGCGAAAGCGUGGGGAGCGAACAGG